rnacentral:rRNA from 1 species
AGCUCCAAUAGCGUAUAUUAAAGUUGCUGCAGUUAAAAAGCUCGUAGUUGGAUUUCUGACAUUAAUGCGCUUGGCCCGCUCCGGUUACGGAUGUGAGUGCCGAGUCGUGUUUGUCAUCCUUCUAGAAAAUGUUAGUUUGCUCUUCAUUGAGUUUAAUUAUCACGAUCUAGAUCUUUUACUUUGAAAAAAUUAGAGUGUUUAAAGCAGGCGUUUGCUAUGAAUACAUUAGCAUGGAAUAAUAAUUUAGGACUUUGGUUCUAUUUUGUUGGUUUCUAGAACUGAAGUAAUGAUUGAUAGGGAUGGUUGGGGGUGCUCGUAUUCAGUGGCCAGAGGUGAAAUUCUCGGAUUCACUGAAGACGAACUUAUGCGAAAGCAUUCACCAAGGAUGUCUUCU